AGGAGAAGGCAAGUGGUGAUCACUAAGCAUCUAAAGGAGGACGUGCAGGGAUGAGACCCAUGGACCACAGCGUGCUGAAAUGUUGUCUCUUCUCUCUACUCUUGCUAACAGUGUCUGCAGCAGACCCUCCAUCCAAUGCAGCCAUUUUAGCUAGUGAAAUGACUCCAGGCAAUGCAUCCAAUACAGCCAAUGCAGGCCAAGCACCCAAUACAGCCAACACAGCCAGUACAAACCAACCAUCCAACACAGCCAGUACAAACCAACCAUUCAACACAGCCAGUACAAACCAACCAUCCAACACAGCCACUUCAUCCAGGGCAACGACACCCUCCUGUACAACACGUCGAUGUCUGGCCAGCAUGCUGAUUGCGAAAGAAGCUCUGAGUCAGCCACAGUCUCCAUCAUGCAUCUCAAAUAUCAGUGUGCCGUUAAUAGUGUAUGAAACUCUGUCUGUCGU